rnacentral:rRNA from 1 species
UACGGGGGGAGCAAGCGUUGUUCGGAUUUACUGGGCGUAAAGGGCGCGUAGGCGGUCAGCACAAGUCAGUUGUGAAAUCUCCGGGCUUAACUCGGAAAGGUCAACUGAUACUGUGCGACUAGAGUGCAGAAGGGGCAACUGGAAUUCUCGGUGUAGCGGUGAAAUGCGUAGAUAUCGAGAGGAACACCAGUGGCGAAGGCGAGUCCCUGGACAAUACCUGACACUGAGGCACGAAAGCCAAGGGAGCAAACGGG